GAUAUGGUGAUUCCCACCAAGCAAAGGGCUUCUUAGACACCCAACAUUUUGCACAACCAAACAUGACCAGAACUUCUAAACCUACAUGUUGAGAUUCACACUCAAGGGCAAGAAACAUCUCAGCAACUCAUUGGGAUCGAGCAGUCAAAAUUCAGAAUCAAGUAACACACAAGAGCUAGAUUUGGAGCUUAGACUGUCAUUGUAAUCAGUAAUUUUUUUUGCUACUUUAAAUGCAUACUCAUGGAACUACAUUUUAUGCUUUCCUAGAAUUGUAAGUUCAAAUAAGGUGUUGAUCUGUAAUUUAUACAUACAACUUGAGCAAGUUGAUAUGAACUAGUUUCAAAUUUUUUUUAAAAAAAAAUCAAAGGAAUGUUAUGUAAUCAAAGGCAAUUUGACUUGCUGCAUGAGAUAUAGUGAAAAACAUUUAUCUUCUUGUUCA